rnacentral:lncRNA from 1 species
UUUAUCCCUAAUUAAUAUAUAUCUCAAAAUCUUAACACAUUGAGAAUAUAUAAAAAUUAUCUUUGUUAAUUUCUAAGAUAAAUCAUGGAUACAUAAAAUAUGAUUGGAAUAAAAAAGCUCUUUAUUGAUAAUAAAAAUAUUACAUAUAUAAAAUUAAGCCCUAAAAUUAUAAAAUAUAUUAGCCAAUAAUUAGCUUCUAGGCCAUAAAUCUAACACACAG